rnacentral:tRNA from 1 species
AAGGAAUGUAUGGCAACAAAAAGAAC